GCCACGGUGGUCUAGCGGUUAGAACGCUGGCCUUGUAAUCCUGGGGUCUCGGGUUCGAUUCCCGGCGAUGCCC
rfam:Zootermopsis nevadensis contig30129, whole genome shotgun sequence.